CAGUAGCCACGGUAAUACGUAGGGUGCAAGCGUUAAUCGGAAUUACUGGGCGUAAAGCGUGCGCAGGCGGUUUGUUAAGACAGAUGUGAAAUCCCCGGGCUUAACCUGGGAACUGCAUUUGUGACUGGCAAGCUAGAGUAUGGCAGAGGGGGGUGGAAUUCCGCGUGUAGCAGUGAAAUGCGUAGAGAUCUGGAGGAAUACCGAUGGCGAAGGCAGCCAUCUGGCCUAAUACUGACGCUGAGGUACGAAAGCAUGGGGAGCAAACAGGAUUAGAUACCCGCGUAGUCCCUGUCUCUUAUAA
rnacentral:rRNA from 1 species